ACUCCUAGCUUCUCUUAGGAUCUAAACUAUUAGGAGAUCUAGAUUGUGGAGCAUUUCUUUUCGAGGUUUCAAGAAAAGAUGGUGAUCAAGGGAGAAGAAGAUAAGUUGAUUUGGUGGGAGACAGAGUAUAAAUUUCUCUGUCAAGUCUUUUUUAGCCUAGGGGGCGACUUAGGGAAAAAUUCUAACAUUAGAUUAGCUUUAAAGGAGAGGGUAGACACUGAUUAAAAGAUGUUUCCUUUGUGAUAUACAAGAGGAGGCGAUUGACGACAUCCUACUACAUUGUGGCAAUAUGAGGUUACCUUCCUCCGUAAGAGAGACCCCAUUAAGAUGGCAUGACUUCUUUGUUGGGAGAGAACAAAAACAGGCGUGGGGUGCAACUUCUUUGUGCCUAAUUUGGAAGUAGAGAAAUAGAAGAUCGUUUCCAAACGAGAAACUCUCCAUUUAAAGAUUGUUUCUUUGUAACUUGUUGUCUUGAGUUGUAUAUAGUUAAAGGUCCAAUGUCCUUAUUUGACUUCAUUGAUUGGUUGGGUUCAUUUUGAGAGAGGGAGUAGUUUUUUGUUGUUCCUUUGGCUUUUUUUUUUUUAGGCCUUUUGAUGACCAUUGUAUACGUUCUAUGUACUUUGGUGCACUCUUUUUGAUGUUUUUUAUUUGAUAUUAUCGUUACUUACCUAUCCAGAAAAAAAAAGAAAAAAAAUGCUGGUGCCUUUGAAGACUUGUGAAAGAAGAGAAAACAUGUUUUGCUACCAAGCUUCUUUGGAAGGUGCAUUGAGGGAUGCUGUGAAUCAGUCCUGAGGCUAUAGCCUUAGUACAAGGUAAUUGAAACUUAAUACAACCUCAAGGCUGUUGAGGCUUAAGCCUGAAAAUUUUAAUGGGUUUGCCUUUUGUGGUUUAAUGGUAUACAAUUCAUAAGAUGCUUCAGCCUCAAUAUGCAAAAAGUUUUAAUGGGUUUUGAGCUUUUGUUGGCUUUUGGUGUAUAUUUUAUAAUUCUUUAGCGCUUGGGUUUAAAAAAUAAAGGUUAAGCUGGCUUCAAUCUAACUUCUGUAAAAAAGGGGGGAAAACAGAGAAAAAGAUUGAGAAGAAUAGAGUUGUUGGUUGCUGAAACAGUUGGACUCAUAUAUAAUCAACUUUCUUACAAUUGGUAGACAAAGGAAAAAAACAAUUUCAAUCAGUGGAUGAAGACGACAUCAACACUAAUAGGGGAAAAUGAUAAAGCAAUUGAAUGCGAUGAUAAUUGUUUGGAGGAUGUUGCCAAUGAUAAUAAUGAUGGUGACAAAGAAUCAUUGAUAAAUCCAUGGCCCGUUGAGAGUAUUCCUUAUGUGAGUUUGACUGGGUAAAGGGAAGAUUCCAUCUUGUGGAGGGAAAGGAAGGAGGAGAGGUUCUAACUGAAGUCUUUCUACAACUCAAUGUGCUCGAGGGAUAUUUCUUUUUGCUAAAAAAGAGAUGUGAGGUUAGAUGUGCCCCUUUGAGAGCUUGUUUCUUUGCUCGGGAAGCAGUGUGGGAGAAGAUUUUAACAACGGACCAAAUACUGAGGGGAUGGUCUUUGGUGGCUAUAUGCAGUUUGGGCAGAGCUAGUAUUGAAUUUUUAAGCCAUAACUCACCAUGAAAAAGCUCGGUUAUUGUGGUAAUGUUAUUUUUUAUCUUUGGGAUUCAGGUGGUUUUUGUAAGAUCAAUCAAAAAUCUCGUGGGUUGAGAGGCUUGGGGCAUGAAUAAAAGGUUGAUGAAGGUGUGGAGUAUAGCUCAUCUUGGUCUUUUUUUUAGUGCGUUCAGAAAUACUGUACAGUUGGAUUUUCAAUAGUAGAGGUUUUCAUCCAGAGAUUAAAAGUUCCAUAAAAUCUUACCUGUGGUCUAAAGUCUCAUUAGGGAUGGUUAAUCGCUCUUUGCAUGACUUAGUUGAUGGCUUAAGUAGAAGAUGGUUGAUUUUUGAAUAGUUUCCUAUUUUCACUCACAUUGUGGUUCCCAUCGUAAAAUUUCAGCAUGCAUUGGUUGGCCCUCCCUUUUUUGCUGGGAGCUGUUUAAUAUUUAUCAAAGCAGAACAAAAGGAGGUUCUAAGAUGGAGAGAGAAAAUAUCUACAUCUAGAACUAAAGGAGGCUAGCAUAGAGGAAACAUGUACCCUAAUAUAGAAGAAAUGGGAGAAUAUCUAUACCCUAAUCCAUGAUGAUUAAUCAAUCUUAAAAACAAAUCCAAAAGGUUGCUUUGAUUUGAUUUUAACAAUCUCUCUAGUUGUUUACACCAUCAUAUGCUUCUCAGUGUGUCUUGGUCAUUCUAGUCUAUCUCUUGCUUUGUUGUUCAAGUAUUAUGAGUAUUGACAAAUCAGGAGCGACUGCACACUUCAGCAUUUUCUUAGCAAAUGGCUUUUGAAUAUUCUCUUUUGACUUUGAAUGGAUUGGGAUGCAUGGCAAAUAAUCCCCAGUGCACUCUUGAAUCACUUACAUAAGAAAAGAGCACAAUUUAGUACGGACCAUAGAAAAACUUGCAUGUCGGUGUCAAGUUGAGCUGUCUGGAUUAGGGAAUUUUGGUAGUUGGCUGUCCAUAAUAAAAUGCUUGAGUUGGCCUUAUAAACAAAUUUUUUUGUAUUACCAGCUGUUUAGGUUUCAGUUGUGUACCAAGAUGAAGAGGAGAAUGUCUGUAGAUAUAUGUUAAUCUAUCAAAAAAAAAA